UGAACUUUCAAUAACUCCUGCCUCUUUUCAGAAAGCUGCAACUCCACCGCCUUCUGCUGUUCUGACCGUUGCUUAACCUUGAUUUAAUUUCAACAGGUGAAAUAAGGGGGACGAUAAUUUGCAUUAGAGUCAACAUCAGUCAUGACAUUUUUGAGCUAGAGACCUACUUUUUCAGCUCAAAGAUCUAAAUCUAAAAAGCAGAGGAAUUUCAAGGUUGAUAUUCAAACUAAGGGCUGAAUUGAAUUACUGGACAGUUAGAACACAGCAUUUUGCAUUCAUAUUCUAAAUGUUAGGCUUCAGAAAGAAAAGCCAUUUAUCCGAAACUGCCUUUAGAUAGAGAGGAUAUCAAGAAAGGAGAUACAAUGAAGAAAUGUAUACAUCAUCAAAAUAGUGUGACACUUAAAAUCAUACAAACUGAUGUGCUCAACUGGAUAAUGGAUGUAAAGUGAAAAGGUCAAAAGAAGUGCCUUAGGCAGGAGGAGCUGCAGGAACCACUCAAACAUGUAUCAAAGUUACUAGUGCAGAAGGUGGGGAGAAGGGAAUGUAAACCAAAAGGAAAAUGUAAUAAAUAAAACUCUGGUUUU